GUGCUACUCUGACAACGUCUAAAUUACCUGUUAUAGCAAGCAGUCUCAUUCUUUAAAGGAACACUUCAGGCACCAUAACAACUCCAAGACAGCCUCUGGAAAUUGCAUGAUCAUGUCAAGAUAUCAUAAAGUGUGCAAAUCCAGAAAGACAAUGAGGUAUUUCAUCAAAGGGCAAACCCUUAUCAUCAACCUUGUAGGCUAGAUACCUAAAAUGUCCAAAUGUAUGGGAACUUAAAAUGUCCUGGUCUGCCUAUUAUUGGGGGCUAGGAAUUUCCUGGUCUGUCCAAAGUUGUAUUUCCCUUAAUAACACUGAUGAGGGCCUUAAGGUAUUGAGUUUUUCAAUUACCCUUCAGUCCCUGCCCACAUUUUCAUGGAGAGGAGAGGCCAAUUAUCU